rnacentral:lncRNA from 1 species
AAGGCUUAAAUUAAAAUAUUGUUUGUUUGCAGUUUACCGACCGACCCUUGAAAAUCCUCCCGACUUUGAAAAUUUUAUUGCUUUAAAUUUGAAGAAAUUUUUUUUAAUACUUCUAUUGACGCGAUCCGGAACUUUGGGUCUUUUCCGGAAAUGAUUUAAAGUCUGGGUCAAUUACGCAUUUCAAGUUUGGUUUUUCUUAGCUUCCCGUCAAGCGUUCAUGUGACCAUUUAAUGAUAAAGCACAUGGAAAUUGUUUACAGGUAUCCAUGAAGUCACGGAGGAGUACUUUACGCUGUCGUCUCGGGUCAAUUUUAAGACAAAUAACAAACAAAAAAGUUUAUUAGUAAACUGUUUAUACAGAUUCAGGCACAUGUAAUGAUGUGUGAUGAUAUCAUUGACGAUGAUGCAGCGGAUAUUCAUAACUGACACGAUAACCAUUCUGUCUCAAACAAAUCGGU